UACGAAGGGGGCUAGCGUUGCUCGGAAUCACUGGGCGUAAAGCGCACGUAGGCGGAUUGUUAAGUCAGGGGUGAAAUCCUGGAGCUCAACUCCAGAACUGCCUUUGAUACUGGCGAUCUCGAGUCCGGGAGAGGUGAGUGGAACUGCGAGUGUAGAGGUGAAAUUCGUAGAUAUUCGGAAGAACACCAGUGGCGAAGGCGGCUCACUGGACCGGUAUGACGCUGAGU
rnacentral:rRNA from 1 species